AUAACAUUAGUAUGAUUAAUAAAAUUAGUAUGUCAAACUAAAAUUAUUAUAUUUUAUAAUAUUUUUUG
rnacentral:tRNA from 1 species